rnacentral:rRNA from 1 species
CGGUAUGGGAUGGGGUCGCGUCCUAUCAGCUUGAUGGCGGGGUAACGGCCCACCAUGGCUUCGACGGGUAGCCGGCCUGAGAGGGCGACCGGCCACAUUGGGACUGAGAUACGGCCCAGACUCCUACGGGAGGCAGCAGUGGGGAAUAUUGCACAAUGGGCGCAAGCCUGAUGCAGCGACGCCGCGUGCGGGAUGACGGCCUUCGGGUUGUAAACCGCUUUUGACUGGGAGCAAGCCCUUCGGGGUGAGUGUACCUUUCGAAUAAGCACCGGCUAACUACGUGCCAGCAGCCGCGGUAAUACGUAGGGUGCAAGCGUUAUCCGGAAUUAUUGGGCGUAAAGGGCUCGUAGGCGGUUCGUCGCGUCCGGUGUGAAAGUCCAUCGCUUAACGGUGGAUCCGCGCCGGGUACGGGCGGGCUUGAGUGCGGUAGGGGAGACUGGAAUUCCCGGUGUAACGGUGGAAUGUGUAGAUAUCGGGAAGAACACCAAUGGCGAAGGCAGGUCUCUGGGCCGUCACUGACGCUGAGGAGCGAAAGCGUGGGGAGCGAACAGGAUUAGAUACCCUGGUAGUCCACGCCGUAAACGGUGGAUGCUGGAUGUGGGGACCAUUCCACGGUCUCCGUGUCGGAGCCAACGCGUUAAGCAUCCCGCCUGGGGAGUACGGCCGCAAGGCUAAAACUCAAAGAAAUUGACGGGGGCCCGCACAAGCGGCGGAGCAUGCGGAUUAAUUCGAUGCAACGCGAAGAACCUUACCUGGGCUUGACAUGUUCCCGACAGCCGUAGAGAUACGGUCUCCCUUCGGGGCGGGUUCACAGGUGGUGCAUGGUCGUCGUCAGCUCGUGUCGUGAGAUGUUGGGUUAAGUCCCGCAACGAGCGCAACCCUCGCCCUGUGUUGCCAGCACGUCGUGGUGGGAACUCACGGGGGACCGCCGGGGUCAACUCGGAGGA